GCCUCUCUCGCGAGAAUAGCGUUAAUCUCGCGAGAUUUGUGCUGCGUCUCCCACCCCCCACCCCCAGCCUCAGCUAAGUGCCGUUUCGGUUUAACCUAGUGUGUGUGAGUGUGAGAGCGUGUGUGAGAGUGAGUGUGUGAGAGGGAGGUCUGAAGCGAGGGGAGCGGGUAGUGACUUCCCCAGGAACGAGGGACAAAGGGAGCGGGGGGGAAGGCGCCCAGACCUCGGGCCCCAGCGUCAGGAGGCCGCGGGGCGAGCCGGGCUGCCGGCUGGGGGAGGGCCCGCGCAGCCCUCACAGACAGGCCCGCUCGGAGCCCGAGGCGGCUCCACUGCUCCUGGGGGCCGGGCCGGCUUCCCCCACCCCUUGCCCCGAGGCCCAGCGGACGGGGCGGGAGCCUCCGCUGCUGCAACCUUUGAGGAGCUUUUUUUCUGCCUCCCCCUCCCCGACCGCUCUUUCCUCCACCUCAUGUAGGAAGGAGCUGAAGUGUAGGGAGGGAGGGGGGGCCAGGGCAGGCGCCUUUCCCCCCCCACCCCUCUUCAGGAGGGGACUCUUUGCUGGGCCUGAGUUGUGGGGGGGAGGGUGGGGAUUGACUUUGGGGAUUCUGGGGGAUUCCUCUCCCCUUUUGAAGUUAGGGGAAGGGGAAUGCCCAAUCCAGAGAGACAUGGGGGCAAGAAGGAUGGGGGUGGAGGGAGUUCUGGGGCCAUGCAGCCAUCAUCCCUGGGUGGUGGUGGCAGCUCCAACAGCAGAGAGCGGCAUAGACUGGUGUCCAAACACAAGAGGCACAAGUCCAAGCACUCCAAAGACAUAGGCUCUCUGGCUCCUGAAGCAGCCCCAUUGAGCACCAUGAUCAAGCCCCUGGUGGAAUACGACGACAUCAGCUCUGAUUCAGACACCUUCUCUGAUGACAUGGCCUUCAAGCUAGAGAGAAGAGAUAAUGAUGAUCGUCGGGGUACUGAUAGGAGUGAUCGGCUCCACAAACAUCGCCAUCACCAGCACAGGAGAAUCAGAGAGCUAUUGAAAACUAAGCAGAUAGAGAAGGAAAAGAAAGUAGAAAAAAACCAAGAAGUCUCCAGUAAGUCAAUGUCCACGAAAGACCGAGUAUCUGGGACUUCAAAACGACUGAACGAAGAGAAUGACGAAUAUGGAAAGGCACUGGUAUCCAAGAGUAGCAGUAACAAGGAAUCCAGGUCAGCCAAAUUCCAUAAGGAGAAAACUCGAAAAGAACGAGAGUUAAAGUCUGGGCACAAAGACCGUUCUAAAAGUCAUCGGAAAAGAGACCCACCCAAAAGCUACAAAUCCAUAGAUAGCCCAAAAAGGAGAUCCAGGAGCCCUCACAGGAAGUGGUCUGACAGCCCUAAGCAGGAUGAUAGCCCUUCAGGAGCAUCAUACAGCCAGGAAUAUGAUGUUAGUCCUCCAAGGUCUCAUACCUCCAGCAACUAUGACUCCUACAAGAAGAGCCCAGGUGGGUCUUCUCGAAGACAGUCAAUUAGCCCACCUUACAGAGAGCCAUCGGCCUACCAGUCUAGCACCCGUUCACCUAGUCCAUACAGUAGGCGGCAGAGAUCAGUGAGUCCAUACAAUAGGAGGCGGUCAUCCAGCUAUGAGAGGGGAAGUGGUUCAUACAGUGGGCGAUCGCCUAGUCCCUACAGCCGAAGACGCUCUAGCAGCCCAUUUGUGACCAAGCGCUCUGUGAGUCGGAGUCCUCUUCCCAGGAAAUCAGUGAAGUCUAGAAGCAGAAGUCCUGUAUAUUCUAGACAUUCAUCUUCCCACAGCAAAAAGAAGCGAUCAGGUUCACGAAGUCGACAUUCUAGUAUUUCACCUACCAGACUCCCAUUAAACUCCAGCUUGGGAGCUGAACUCAGCAGGAAGAAAAAGGAAAGGGCAGCUGCAGCAGCUGCUGCAAAAGUGGAUGGAAAGGAGGUGAAGGGGUCACCUGUAAUUUUGCCUAAAAAAGAAAACAUCUCAGGGGAGACCAAAGAGUCAAGCCUUGAGUCUAAAAAAUUAUCUAGAGUUUUAAAAUCUGAAAAAUCUGCUUCAGAUACUGAACUGGUAAACUUAGCACAUCUGAAUACAGAGAUGAAAACUUCUUUAGAUCCAGGAAAAGUAAAAUUGGAUGAGAACUCUGAGAAGAAGCAUCUUGUUCCUACUAAAGACUUGAAAUCACAGGGAUCAAAGGACUCUAAACCCAUAGCAUUGAAAGAGGAGAUUGUGGCCCCAAAGGAAUCAGAGACAAUGGAAAAGGAGGUUCCUCCACCUCUCCCCACAAUUACUUCUCCACCCCCUCUACCAACCACCACCCCUCCACCUCAGACGCCCCCUUUGCCACCUUUACCUCCGUUACCAGCUGUUCCACAUCAACCACCUCUGCCACCUCUCCAACCAACUUUUAGUCAGGUCACUACUUCUGUCACCCCAACUUUAUCAUCUUCUACUCACCCGAGGACAUCUGCUCUAUCUUCUCAGGCAAACUCUCAGCCCCUUGUACAGGUUUCUUUGAAGACCCAGGUGUCAUUGACAGCUGCUAUUCCACACCUGAAAACUUCAACUUUGCCUCCCCUGCCACUUCCACCCUUAUUACUUGGGGAGGAUGACUUGGAUAGUCCAAAGGAGAGUCUUCCUCCAAAACCUAUGAAGAAGGAAAAGGAACAAAGAACUCGGCAUUUGCUCAUGGACCUCCCUCUUCCUCCAGAGCUCCCCGGUGGUGAUCCCUCUCCCCCAGACUCUCCAGAACCAAAGGCUGCCACCCCACCUCAACAACCAUAUAAAAAGAGACCAAAAAUCUGUUGCCCACGUUAUGGGGAAAGGAGACAAACAGAAAGUGAUUGGGGGAAGCGCUGUGUGGACAAGUUUGACAUAAUUGGAAUUAUUGGGGAGGGAACAUAUGGACAAGUAUACAAAGCCAAGGACAAAGACACAGGAGAGCUAGUAGCCCUAAAGAAGGUUCGACUAGACAACGAGAAAGAAGGCUUCCCAAUCACAGCCAUUCGUGAGAUCAAAAUUCUUCGACAGCUGAUCCACAGGAGUGUUGUUAAUAUGAAGGAAAUUGUCACAGAUAAACAAGAUGCACUGGAUUUCAAAAAGGACAAAGGUGCCUUUUACCUUGUAUUUGAAUACAUGGACCAUGACUUAAUGGGGCUGCUAGAGUCUGGAUUAGUACAUUUUUCUGAGGACCACAUCAAAUCUUUCAUGAAACAGCUAAUGGAAGGCUUGGAUUACUGCCACAAAAAGAACUUCCUACAUCGGGAUAUUAAAUGUUCCAACAUUUUACUGAACAACAGUGGACAGAUCAAGCUGGCAGAUUUUGGACUUGCUCGACUCUAUAGCUCUGAAGAGAGUCGUCCUUAUACAAAUAAAGUCAUUACAUUAUGGUAUCGACCACCAGAACUGCUGUUAGGAGAGGAGCGCUACACACCAGCCAUAGAUGUUUGGAGUUGUGGUUGCAUCCUUGGGGAACUGUUUACAAAGAAGCCUAUUUUUCAAGCUAAUCUGGAACUGGCUCAGCUUGAACUAAUCAGUCGGCUCUGUGGCAGCCCCUGUCCAGCUGUGUGGCCCGAUGUUAUUAAGCUACCUUACUUCAACACAAUGAAACCGAAAAAGCAAUAUCGGAGACGUUUGCGUGAGGAAUUCUCUUUUAUUCCUCUGGCUGCUCUAGACUUGCUUGACCACAUGCUGACACUGGAUCCUAACAAGCGCUGCACCGCUGAGCAGGCCCUGCAGAGUGACUUUCUUAGAGAUGUUGAGCUCAGCAAAAUGGCUCCUCCAGACCUCCCCCAUUGGCAGGAUUGCCAUGAACUGUGGAGCAAGAAACGGCGACGGCAGAGGCAGAGUGGCAUUGUGGUAGAGGAACCACCUUUGUCCAAAACUUCUCGAAAAGAAACUACCUCAGGAGCAAAUGUGGAGCCUGUGAAGAACAACAGCCCAGCACCACCCCAGCCUGCUCCUGUCAAGGUGGAACCUGGGGCUGGGGAUGCAAUAGGCCUUGGUGACAUCACACAGCAGCUGAAUCAAAGUGAAUUGGCAGUGUUACUGAACCUGCUGCAGAGCCAGACUGACCUGAGCAUCCCUCAGAUGGCACAGCUGCUCAAUGUCCAUUCCAACCCAGAGAUGCAACAGCAGCUGGAGGCCCUGAACCAAUCCAUCAAUGCCCUCAAUGAAGCCACUUCCCAGCAUCAGGACUCUGAGCAUGUGGCCCUGGAGGAGACUGUGAAGGAGCCCCCCCCUGCCAUGGUAGUCCAACCCUCAACAGAGCAGACAACCCCGGAAGCAUCUGGCACACCAGGUGACAUGCAGAAUGUGCUGGCAGUCCUCCUGAGUCAGCUGAUGAAAACCCAGGAACCAACAGGCAGCCUGGAGGAAAGCAAUGGAGAAAAGAGCAGUGGGCCACAGGGGCCCCGAAGAACUCCCACAAUACCACAGGAGGAGGCAGCAGAACAAGUUAAUAGCAGGAAGGAAGAUUCCUGAGGAAUGGGCACCAUGCCUACCAAUAAUCUGACACUUAGAGCCCUGGCAAACCUCUUGGCAUCCUUCUAGAGGUUUCUGGGAUUCUGAAAUCAGAUCUUGUUGAAGGCCCAGCACAUCCUGGGUGGUGAGUUCAAAUCCUGUUCCAGACUUUUUACAGACUUGCCAGCUGUCUUCUCUCACUUCUAAAUCCUGGCCCAGGCAAGUCACAGUGAAAUAACCCUACAAAAAUCAUCUUGAUGCCCUGCCUGCCUCCAAACAGGACUGCCUGUCAACUAGCUCAGAAUAGUGUGAUGGUAAAACUGUCUUUCUCUUCUUCCUUCAAUAUUGCCAAAGAGAAGAAAGUCCUUAUUCUCUUUGCUACACUCUGCCCUGGUGGCUUCCAAGUCCUUGCCACUGAGAAAACCCUCCUGCUACAACUUUAUGUCCCACAAACGGAAGAGCCACUUCUUUCCUUUAAGGGGUAUGGGGAGAAGGGACCAGUAAAACUAGAAAAUGGCUGGGAAGAAAAGGUUAGUCUGGGGGUCAUCCUGCCCCAAUGGCCCUUUUCCAUCAGCAGCCUGAAGUCCUGGGGCUUUGCCCUCCUCCACUGGCCUGAAGGCCUGAGGGAAUGUCCAGCCUGCUUGGAGAAGGGAGUUUGGCCGUGCCCUCAAGGAGAAAGAUUCCACUAAUUCCCAGAACGUCCCUAGAGACUGGGGAAUAUGUUGGCCAUAAGGACGAAGCAGCCACCAGAUGUCACCCUCUGUCAGCCUGGGCCCAAUGCCUGUGGAGAGCUGGCCGGAAGGGAGCAGGGCUUUCCCCCCAUCUCCAAGUGCACUGGAGAGCAAUCCCUCCCUCCAGCCAGUCCCUACAAUCUCGGCAUCCUCUCUGAGUUUGUAGCGAGGGUGGUCUAAGGGCUUCUCACGGAGCAUCCCUACCUUGAACUUGCCAGGCCUGAUGGAGGGAUAAGGCAGGUGCCAGAGGGUCAGGAGACUUUUUAGGAGCUCGAAGAGCAGCCAGUGUGUACAGAGUGCCAAGGGGCAAAGGGGGCAAAGAAUUCAUUUUUCUGCCCACCUCUGGCACCACCUGUCAGCCCAAGCAAUCUGACCAGCUGUCACCUCUGAGCUGCUGCCCUGGGUGGUAAGGACAAGGGAAAGAAGUAUCAGCAGUGGGGGUGGGUGCGCUCUUGAUUUCAGCCACACGAGGGCACUGCCUACCAAUUUAAAAGCCUGCCCCAUGGGCACCACUUAGAGGGCAGAACCUGGGUAAGGGUGCAUCUCUUCUAGACUUCAAUCAGGUCUCCUCCAUGGAGAAACAGAACGUUUAUUUGGAGACCAAAGGAACAACCUUCACUAUUUGUCCUUAUAACGGAGAAACAGUUUUAGUAGUUGGAGCCCCUGGGUACGUCCUGGCAGCUUGGCAGCAAACCCUCCUCCUCCUCUGGCCUCUGAUUCUAGGAACUAGGGGCUUUGACCCUCCGGGAAGACAAGGAGGAGUGAUCAGACUUGUAGGUUCAGAUUAGUUUUCCUGGAGUCCAACUUGGCCUUUCAAAGAGCUCCCCACUUAUCUCUUGCCUCUGAGCAGAGCAGACCGCUACCAUCCCUGGCAGGUGGCGGGGGGGAAUCUUUAAUUCUGUAAGAAAUAACCUUCCUCCCAUGGUUUCUCCCUUACAGCUGACUGUGGGCAAGCUGAUGUCAUCUCCAAAAUGGGGCUAAUGAUAUGGAUGUGUGUGUGUUUUAUAUAUACACUGGAGCAUUUACUAGAGUAAGAGAAUACGGAUAAUGAGGUAGGCAGUGCCCAUCAACUUGAAAUGCCUUCCCUAGACCUACCUGUCCAGGUAUGUUCCCACAAUCCAUAGUGUCUAGAAACUCAGGACAAUGUUGUGUGUGUAUAUAUAUGUGUGUGUGUGUAAUGUAUAUAUACACACACAGCGUAUAUAUUUAGUGAUUUAUAACUUCAAGACAUUGGCAUUCCUUAGUAAAAGAGUCUGGCAGAGAGGAAAAGGGCAAGGUUUUACGCUUAGUAGAUGUGCAAUAAAUGUUUGAUGAAUGACAGAACAUUGGAAGGAUGGGCCUCUUUCAUCAUAGCCUGUCUCAGCUCAAGACUGCUGUUGUCCUAGGACAGGAAGACAUGGAUGCAAAUCUUGCUUCUUACACUUAACAAGCUGUGAGACUCCGGACGAGUCACUUUCCUCAUCUAUAAAAUAAGGGUGUUAGACUCAAGUAUCGUUGAGCCAGCAUCCUAGAGACCAAGCCACAAAGAUUACACUGGGAAAAUGAGACCAACCACUUUUUCCUCUGUGCCACAAAGCACCAGAAAGAGGGGACCCAGGCAUGACUCCAGAUAGUUACUUUUGCUGUGAUUUGGGCAAGAGAUGGAACCUUUAUUGAGGAAGCACCCUGUAUUUGACCCCAACAGCCCAUGGAACUGUGCCAGGCUGCAGGAGGUAAAGAGGACAGAGGUUCCACCCACCCUCCCCAUCCCUAUCCCCAUUCCCAGGCCUAUGGCCCCCCUCCCCAGGUGGACAGCUUGAUUAAACAGUCGGUGCUGCUGGAAUUACUGCACAGCUGGCGCUUCCCCCCCCAACUCCCCCACCCCCAGCACCCCGAGCAGAGCAGCAGCACAGAUUAAAAUCUCCAAUUAGCGUUUAAGUGAAGAGGCACUGAGGCUGCCAAGGAAGCUGGGUGGGGGACCCUAGGCUGUCUGGGUUCCCCCUUUUCUCCAACUCAUCUCCUGAUCUAAAAGCUUCAGGCUUUUACCACAGAUUCAAGCAUCAGGAGCCCCAAUCCUAAAUCUGAAUACCUUCGUCGCUCGGCUUCUUUCCCCACCAGAGUCUCUCUAAAGCCCCUACCAGCGGUCCUGGGGGACCUGUCAGUUUUUUCAGUGCCCAGAGGGUGACAGGCUUCCUUAGAUCUCCCCCUCCCCACCCAUGUGGCCAUCUAAACUGGCGUCUAAGGGCUGGCAGGACUCAAGAGGUGGAACCAGAACAUUCAAUAGGGGAAGAGAAUAAGGAUAAUGAGGUAGGCAGUGUCUAUCAACAUGAGAUUCCUUCCCCAGACCAAUCCAGCUAUGUUCCCAUGUUGCCAGGCCACUCUCUGUAACGUUUAGAAACUCAGGACACUGUUGCUUCCUUCUCCCUGGGGAAAGGGCAAAUAAAAUGGGCAAAUUCCCCAAUCAGCACAAAGCCCAUGACAGCAAAGCCGUGUUCUGUCCACGUAUCUAGCCACUUUGCCUGCCCUAUCCAUCUGCUUUCUGUUUCUGUCUGGCUUUUGCUCCUAUCGGUCAAUGCCUGACACAUUUCUCUGGGCCCCCCCAUUCCUUGCCCAUAUUUUCAGAGGGCAGGGGGCAGACACAGCUGGACCUGGGAGCAGCACCAUACUCUGCCACCUGGGUCUCCAGGCGGCUCCUCGUUAUCUCCUUCCCAGAUUGGGGGGUGGGGUGAGGAGUGAAGGGGGACAUGCCAAAGACAGGAUGCUUGAUUCUUCAGCUCCCCCAAAGCCCCUGCACUAUCUGCAUCUCCCCUAGCUGGUCAUGCUCAAGUUAAAGGAAACUGAGUUUCAGUGCCCCCCUGCCCCUUUAAGAGAUGAAGGGGUAGGUGCCCAGCUGAUGAGACCUCCUCACACCCACAGAAAUUAGACACCAGGGCAUGAUGCCACCCUCCCAGGCUGGCACAUGCUACCCUGGCAGAGGUUCAAACACCCCCCCAUCUCUCUCACACACACACACACACACAUACACACACACUUUCCUCUUCUCUAUUUCUGUAUUUUUUUUCUCGCUCAAAGCACAGCUGAGCCUUAAAGAGUGGGGGGGGGGUUGGGGGGGGCAGACAGGAGAAGGGGGGAAGCCUAGGCUGGAUGUUGGGGGGGGUGAAGAGCUCCAAUAGCACGUUUUCACCUGCCAUUUAAUUGGAUGUAUUUUUAAUUAAUGGGACCUCAGGGACCAACAUGAGACAAUCUGAUCUCUGAAUAGGGACAGGGGAGGGAUUGGAGAAGGGAGGAGGAUUGGGCCACUGGGUGCGGUUACCGGGAACUCAGGCCCAUCAAUCACCGGCCACUUUGCGCUCUGGCACCAAAAGCAAAGAGGUGGAGGAGGUGCCAGGAUUCCUACCACCCUCUUUCCAGUCAGGAUGGGGUAGCAUCAGCUUGCUCAGGCUGGGAAGAAUUUCACGUACCAAGUUGGAAAGUGAUAAAGAGUAAAGUUGUUGAAGGUUCAAGUGUCUGGAUGGAGCCCAGCCAGUUUUGUCAGGUUCGACCAGUCCAGUCAGAUCCCAAGGAAGGAAUUUUGAGGAGCAGAGGAGAGGGGCAGAGGUCCAGCCAUGUGAGGGUAAGGAAUAGGGGCAUUUGGAGGGAGAAGAGUUCUAGGGGGAGAGGGAUGAUGCCUGGGGACAUUUCUAUGCAUUUUGACAUGAAAUGAGUACCAUGGAGAUUAAAUGCAAAGCACUAUGCAAAUGAGGCCAACCCAAUUCAUUUUUACUCUACAACAUGGGCAUUUUUGGUGCAAAUCCUGUCCCUGGGGCCUGCUUUGAGUCCCUGCUGCUGGCAUUUUUAGAAAGACAAGGGGAAGCUUGCGCUUUAAAGUCUUCCUCCAAAGCCUUACUGGGCAUGAAGGUGAACCCAUGCCUCUGGAAGCUUGUGCCUGCUGAGGGCAAGUCCUGGCAGGUCCUACCAAUCUGGAAAGGCUAUAAGCCCUUACCUAGCAAUGCUCUAUCAUUGGCAGGCCUGGGCAGCCAAGUUCAGAUAGGCUGACCACCAGGUAAUGAGUUUUUUUUGGCCACAACAACUCAUUAAGCCUUUCUCAAAAGGUGUGGAAGUAGUUGUCCUAUGUAUUAUUCAAAUGAGCAUGUGCUUGGAGCAGGUAUUGAAGAAGGAAUAGGGAAGAGGUGAUUUCCCUCCAUGUAGUACUACCUCUUUCCUUUUCUGGACAAAACGAAAAUGUUCCACCAAGCAUUUUAAGUUUCCGCUGUGUACCAGGCACUGUUCCUGAAGACAAUAAGGAAACAGUCUCUUCCCUCAAGGAACAUCCUAUCCGUUUAAACAACAAAGUCAUGCAAAAGAAAAUGCAUCCUAUAGACUAUGGUAAUCUCGGAAAGGUGAAACACAGCAGCUAACAGGCUCAUGAGAUCCCUCCCUACACAAGAGGUAGGAGGUUAGCUGAAUUUUGAUGGAAGCUUAUUUUCUGUCACUUUGGGUCAUUUUGGACUCUUCAUUACCCCAUUUGGAGGGAGAAUCACUCAGAUUGAAUGACUGGUUGGAUUGGGGGGUGGGCAGCUCAUAGGAUCAUAGAUUUAGAACAGGAAGGGCACAAUCUUAUCAUUUGGCCAAGAUACGGAAAUGUUUUACCAUUUCCUUCUCCAGCUGAUUUGGCAGAUGAGGAAACUCGGGCAAACAGGCUGAGAUAUUUGCCCAGGGUCACACAGCUAAUGAGUGUCUAAGGUAGAAUUUGAACUCAAGGAGAUGAGUCUUCAUGACUCUGGGUUGGCUCUCUUUGCACUAUGGCACCCUCUAGUUCCCCUUGAUAGAGGUUACAGAUUCCUUAUCCAUAAAAUGAGGGAGUUGGACUAGAUAACCUUUGCAGUCCCUUCCAGACCUAGUUCUAUGAUCCUAUGAACCUAAGAGAUAGAAGUGAGGAGGAAAUAUGCUCCAGAUGUUGAGGACAACUUGUACAAAAGCAUGAGAGUGGGUAAAUAAGCCAGUUCUAGAAGAUAGAGAGCCUGAAGAGUAAUAUACAACAAGUUGAAAAAGGCAAGUUUAGAUAGUAAAGAGCUUUAAAUGCUACAUAGGAAUUUUAUUUCAUCCUAGAAACCAUAGGGAGCCACAGGAACUUUUUCAGCAAGAGUGACAUGGUCAGACCUGUGCUUUAAGUAUAUUACUUUGGCAGCUAGAGAAGUGAGAGACUGGAGGCUGGGAGACUGUUAUAAUCAUCCAGGCAAGAGAUGAUAAAGGCCUGAACUAAAGCUGUAGCCAAGUGAAUAGAAAGACUGGGACAGAUGGGAAAGGAGUUGUGGAGGGAGAAUCACUCAGAUUGAAUGACUGGUUGGAUUGAGGGGGGGUGCAGCUCAUAGGAUCAUAGAUUUACAACAGGAAGGGCACAAUCCUAUCAUUUUACAGAUGAAAUGAGACCAAGGGAAAUUAAGUGAUACAUUCAAGUAGAAUUUGAACCCAGAUCUUUCUGACUCCCAGGUCUAUUCCUCUACAUAUUAUACAAUACAAUGCUGCCUUUUGAAGGGGAGUGAGUAUUCAAGGAUGAUUCAAAUCAUGAACUUGUAUAACUAGAAGAAUUGGUGGUGCCCUUAAAAGAAAUUGGGAAAUAUAAGAAGACUGCAUUUGGGGGAAAGAUAGAGUUCCAUUUGGGAGGUAGUUAGGUAGGGCUCAGUGAAUAGAGUACCAGGCCUGGAGUUGACACAACUUGGGUUCAAAUGUGGCCUCAAACACUUCCUAGCUGUAUGACCCUUAACAAAUCACUUAACCUCAUUUGCCUAGCCCUUGCCCUUCUGUCUUAGAAUUGUUAGUAAGACAGGAAGUAAGGGUUUUUUGUUGUUUUUUUAAAGGGAGUUCAUUUUGGACAUGUUGCAUUUCAGAUGUCAGUAGAACAUCAAUUUGGAAAUGUUUAAAAAGCAUUAUGGGUGAGGAAGUAGGGAUGGGAAAGAGAUGCCGUUAGUGUUCCUUUGUGAGAAUUGAUACUAAAUAUCAGUUCCAAGGCAGAAGAGCAAUAAAGGCUAGGUAAUUGAGAUUAAGUGACUUGCCCAGGGACACAGCUUGGAAAUGUCUGAAGUCUGAUUUGAACCUAGGACCUUGGGUCUCUAGGCUUUACUCUCUGUUCUCUGGGCUACCUAGCUGCCCCGAUACAGCUUUUCUAGAUUGCUAAGGAUAUGGGCAUUUCUCUCAUCUGCCAAUUUCCAGAUGUCAUUCCAUCCCUCCUACUCUCACCAACAUUUAGACCAGGGCUUCUAAAACUGAGAUCCAUGGACAAAUUUCAAGGGGGUCUCUGAUCUUGGAUGAGGGAAAAAAUUACCUAUUUUCACUAAAAUGCUAACUUUUUUCAUUUCCUUCUGAGGAGUCUAUAGGUUCUACUAGACUACCAAAGGGAGAGGGAGUCUAACCUAUUAAAAAGGGUUAAGGAUCCUGAAUCUAGACUCAAGAGGGAUUAUACUAUAAAAGUAUAACAUGAUGGCAGAGUGGAAAGCCUGCUAGGCUUGUGCUAGCAGAGAUCUAAGUUCAAAUCUUGCCUUUGAUACCGGCUGUGUGACCAUAGAUAAGUCACUUCCUGUCCACCCUGCCAGUUAUUCACUCAUGCCUCAUGGCCUUAUCAGUGAAGAAGUCCUUAGGAUGUUCUGCCAAGCUCUCCUGCUAUAACACAGACAUCUGGGGAAACCAGGGAAACCAAGGGUUAAAGAGUAGUAUAUGGCUGUGUCUUAUACCCCGGCCCACCCAGCCCUCCCUGAGUCCAAUCCAAGUCACUUAAGCUUUGCCCUCAGUCAGUGCCUUUGUUCCUCCCACCUGAAAAUAAAAACCCUUGCCCUGACCCCACUGGUCCCCUGUGUUUGUCUUUAACGGGCACUGUCAAGGAAGAUUUUUGCAAAGUAUAGAAUGUUGCCCAUCCUCUACCUCUUUUAACAGCUGGGCAGAAAGGGGCUUGCCCACCAGGUUCUGGCAACAGUUUGCUAGGGCACUUUGGAGGCCAGCCAUCAAUGCCAGAAAACUGAGGAAGGCAUUUCCUGACAUCAUCCCACUUCCUCAUACAUGAUCAGCAUUCUCCAUUCUUUGCUUCAUUAGGUCAUGUUGGUGCCAGGGUAAUAGGGUAGACAGGCAGCAGAGUGGGGAGGCAGGGGUUACUUAGACAGACGUCCCAUCUAAGUGCUUCUGACCUGUCUCCUAACACCCUCCUUCCCCCACAUCCUCAUCCAGCUUCAUCUCCUGGCCGACAUUCACAUCUCGCCAAGGACCACUCUGUGGUCUCCCCAGCUACCAUGCAUGACUCUGUCAAGGUGUCGUGGUCUGAUGGCUCCCAGCAGUCUCCCAAGUGGCCUUUCUGCUCCAGGGUUCUGGCUCUCCCACCAGAGUCCAUACCAGUACCUGUCUGUAAGACUGCCUGCUAAAGCUUUUUUUACCCCUGACCAUAUAGAAUCAGCCUUCCAGGAAUGCCUACUGAAACUCAAGACUGACCAUGCUCUUUCCUUCCCUCAGAGUGCCCUCUCAUUCACUUCUAGCCUGUUGACAGUGGCCAGUAUGAAAAAUCUUGCCAGGAGUUAUGGGCAGGGGGAAUGCUGUCAUCUGGGGGAACCAGGAUGGGAUUGGAGGAAUGAAAGCUGCUCCCUCCAGUAGGGCUGAGAGCUGUGUAGCCCGAGGCCCCCAUCAGGGGCUGGCCAUUCAAUGUAGGGCAAAGCAUUAAUAUUUAGUGUUGGUUGGGGAAUUUAUUUGUCAGUUGAUUGUUUACAGAGAUGAUUCCUGCUCUGGAAUGGAGGAGAGCACUUAGUGGGAGGGACGUGUUGGGGCUGGGGGAAAGGGCAGCUUUUCCACAAACCCAUCCCCCUCCUUCACUCUCCCUCUUCAUACCCAGUCCCUCACCUGGGCAUUUGAAAUGAGCAGAAAGGCUCCCUAAACCCCCAGAUUACUUGCUCCAAAUUAGAAUUCCUCACAUUCCUUUAAGGAACAUCAAGCUUGUUUCUUUCCCCACCCUGACUGAGUUUCCUGGUUGGGCAAAAGAUGUGUAGGCAGAGGUUGCCACUAACAUAUGGGGGCUGUCACCAGCUGGGGCUGAGAGCCUAGUGUCUGCAGCAUUGAGACCUAGCCUUGGGGGUAAGCAAGAGACCAAGGUAGGGACUGAAACCCAGGGGUCAGCUUUGUGCCAGAAUGCCCUCUUGCUUAAGAGAAGAGAAGAGAAUCAUAUUUCAGAAUUACUGGGAACCUCAUUGACAGUCUAGUCCAAGCUAUGCCUGAAGAUUUCUCACAACAGUAUAGGUAAGUGUUCACCCAACCUUGAAGACCUCUAAUAAGCAAGACCCUUUACCUCUUUAGGCAGCCAGUUGCAGUUUUUUUUUCAGUUGCAUUAAACAAAACUAAUUAUCAGGAAUUUAUUCCCUGACAUUAAGCCUGAAUCUACCUCUUUCUAAUUUUCCCAAGUGGCACAGUUCUUUUUUUUUUUAUUAUUUUUUUAAAACCUUUACCUUCCGUCUUGGAGUCAAUACUGUGUAUUGGUUCCAAGAUAGAAGAGUGGUAAGGGCUAGACAAUGGGGGUCAAGUGACUUGCCCAGGGUCACACGGCUGGGGAGUAUCUGGCACUUAGUUCUUAACUCUGGGCCCAAACAGAAGAAAUUUUAAUCCCCUUUUCAUGCCCUGCAAAUUCUAGAAGACAAGUUUAUCAUAUUUCAAGUCUUUUUCCUCCAGGCUAAACAGUCUCCAGUUUCUUCUCUAUGAGACAUAUAUAAACUUGAGGCCCAUCACCAUCUGGGGGCCUCUCCUUUCGACACUCUCUGGCUUAUCAAUGUACUUCCAGAACUGGAGUGUCCAGAACUAGGCAAUACCCUUAAUGUGGUCUGACCAGAGCAGAGUGCUAUGGUACAAUGAAUGAUUUCAGUGGUGCAAUUUCCUUGGAAACUACACCUCUCUUAAUUAAGUACAGAGUCAAAUUAGUUGCUUUGGUUUUGCCUGCCAUAUUACUGUCAAUUCAUAGUUGAAUUUACAGUCCCACCAAAAAAUCACAUAUGUUUUUUUAAAGCAAAUAGUUUUAUUCUUUCAUUGUUUUCAGUUCCAAAUUCUCUCCUUCCACCACCCUAAUGAGAAAGCAAGAAAAACAAAACCUAUUAGAAAUAUGUAUAGACAUGCUAAACACAUUUCUGCACUAACCAUGGCCUCCCAAAUAAAUCAAGAAAGAAAAAAAAAAUGUCUCCAUCUGUACUCCCUCAGUUCUCUUUCUGGAAAUGGAUAGUAUGUGUCUUCAUGAGUCCUUUGGAAUUGUGGUUCAUUGCAUUGAUCAGAGUUAUUAAGUUUCUGAGUUGAUUAUCUUUACAAUAUUAUUGUUACCAUUUACAAUGUUCUCCUUAGUUCUGCUUACUUCAUUUUGUAUCUGUUUUUAUACAAGUUUUUCCAGAUUUUUCUGAAACUAUUCCCUUCAUUUCUUACUGCACAAUCAUAUUCUAUCAUAUUUAUAUACCACAAUUUGUCUGUUCAGUCAUUCUCCAGUCAAUGGGCAUCUCCCUACUUUCCAAUUCUUUGCCACCACAAAAAGAGCUGCUAUAAAUAUUUUUGUACAUAUGGGUCCUUUUCCUCUUUUUUAAAAAAUUUCCUUGGGGUAUAGCCUUAAUAGCAGUAUUGCUGGGUCAAAUAUGCACAGUUUAAUAGCCUUUUGGGCAUAGUUCCAAAUUGCUUUCCAGAAUGUUUGGACUACCCAGACUUUUUUUCCUUCAGUUUGUUGUCUAACUAUUGACCUUAAAUUUCAUUAAUAGUCUAAGGCCCUCAUUUUACAUAUAGGGAACCUGAUGGCCAGAGGAGAGAAGCAACUUGCUGAGGGCCAGGCUGCUCAGAAUUAGCUAAGGAAACUAUUGUCCUACUAAUUUGGGUGACCCCCUCGGGUUAGCCUUUACUGGGGCUAUAUGACCCCCUUCUUAUCUCAGUUCAUCUCUAUUCCAAGAUCCUAGUGAAAUUUUGAAGGUUCUUAAUGUUGAAACAUUACCCUUGCCCCAGUUCCCCAUCCCAGCUGGCUCCUAGAAUUAAGGAAAGGGAAGGAAGGCAGGGAAGGGAGGCCUGAGAAAAGAAGGAUAGGGAUGGCAAAGCCACUCUACUCACUAGCACCUAGGGAGAAAGACUAAGACAGAGGGAGAAACAACCACCAGAAAGAGCCAGACGGAUAUGCCUGCUCCUGGAGCAGCCUCCACCCUCUCAUCCCUGUUCUUCUCUCAUGCCAACAAAGCUGUGUGCCCUCCUGUGCCAGCUUUCCUGGCGAUCCCUCUCAACAGCACAGGCAAGCCGGGUUUUGCUUUGCUCCAGCACAGAGCACAUGCUGGAGUGUCUCUCUCAUUCUCACAAUCUCUUAACUUGUUCAUUCUCUUUUAGUGGUUCUGCACUACAUAUUCCUGGGAAUGGGGAAGUGGACUGGGGUCAGACUUUUCAAAGGCUGGGCUUCUCUGGUUAUAUACCUGACUGAUCAUUGGGGUAGGAUGAGGCAAUACUGUAGGGUGCUGGCAAACAAUUCCAUGGAAUUGAAGGGUUUAGUGACUAAGAGAGGCAGAAACAGCUCAUGAACACAAAAUGCCAAAAAAUGAGGCUUGAUCCUGGGCCCCAACUCCUUGUUGUUGGAGAAGUUCGGUAUGAAAUGGGAUGACGAGAUGUCAUAAAGAAAAAUCCCUGCACGAAGUGAGAAGACAACAUACAGGAUGAAAAGAGGUGAUAACUGGCUCUGCCCUCCUAUUUUUUAUUCCAUUGCAGAGGCCACCAGGCAUUGCCUAACCCUAGUGAUCUCAUAUGGCUCCAGUGUGCCUUCCAAAAGAGAGGUUACCCUGGCAGUUUCAGUUGCUCCUCUCUGCCUACACAUCCUGAAUUGUGGAAGGAUGAGGUGGCUUCCUAAAAAGAAGACAGCAUUUGAAGGAUUUACCAGCAGGGUUUGCCAGUUUAUUCCCUGGAAAUAAACACAUGGGGAAGCAGAAUUGGGACUGAAAAAGUAGUUCUCAUUUUGAUAUGUAGACAAGGUGUUGAGGAUAUAUAUGACAAGGAGGGUUAACACAAGACAUACAAAGUGGAGGGAGGAAGCAGGAGGAAGAGAUGAAAGGGAGAAAAAAGAGGGUGAAGGAUGAAUGGCAAUUGCUGUCCAAAUUGGAGGGGUUGCAGUGUCUAGGGAAAAGAAGGAAGAAAAAAAGAGUUUGCAAGAGUCAGCAGGGUGGGAGGAAAAGGAGAAAAUGAAGUUGACUCUACCUGUCCAUUUCCCACCUGGCUCCUCCGGGCACAGCCUAUGAAGGUCAGUUGUUCAGCAUUUAUUUAGGCACUGUGCUAAGUAUGGAAAUGUGCCUUUUCUUUUUUUCACUUCAGAAACACCACCCCAUUAAUGAUGAUGAUGAUGAAAGCUAGCCUUUAAGAUGAUAAUCCUUUGAGAUUUGUAAAGCCCCUUUACAUGUUGUCUCACUUGAUUCUCACAACAUCAACACCAUGAGGUAGUUUCUUAUUAUACCUAUUUUAUAAAUGAGAGAAGUUAAAUGAUUCACCCAGGGUCACACAGCUGCUAAGUAUCUAAAGUGAGAUUUGAACUCGGGUCUCCUUGAACCCAGAUCUAUGCCACUUAGCUUCUUUAUUAUAGGAUGAGGGAACAUUGGUGCUGAAGGUGGCUAAAAUAGCUAAGAAAUUAGGGCUUUGUUCUACUUGUCCAACUCUUCGUGACCCCAUUUAGAAUUUUCUUGGCAAAGAUUUGUUUGCCAUUUCCUCUUCCAACUCAUUUUAUAGAUGAGGAAACCAAGGUAAACAGACUUGCUAGUAUCACACAGCAAGUAGGUGAGUCCAGAUUUGAACUCAGGUCUUCUUGACUCCUGGCCUAGAGCCUUAUCCACUGUGCCAUCUAGCUGCCCAAAGGCCCAUAGGGCCUUGGCUACUUGCCUAAUCAAAGGAAAAACAAAUUGACUGCCUAUCCAUGAUGCAUCCUAGUCUCCAUAUUUUUCUCCUUGAACUACUGGCUUUUUUGAUGGAGUUAAUGCAGAGAGAUACAGUCCAGUGAGUUUUCUCCCUUAGAUUUGCAGUAGUCAGGAGCACACCCUGGUCCAUGAGAAUUUCUACUCCUUGUGAACCAGAAAGAGGGGAGAGUUAAGAGAAUGGAAGGGUAUAUGGCUGAUGUUCAAAGUCAGAUGAUGAUCCAUUACUUCAUUUGUUUCUCCUUGUUCUUUUCUGUAUCAGCAGCUCUGCUUUCCAGUUGAGGUAUGGGGCAUGUCUGCCCGUGGCCAUUCCUAGAAAUCCAGAAGUGACUUCAGGGUGGAGAGAAGACCAGAUCAAGCCACUUCAUAUUUGUGCACAAAAACAGAACUGGUCCUCACCCACCUCCCCACCAUCCCAUCUCUCUUCCUAGAAGCAGACAGGCUUGGCCUGCCAAGAUCACAAACUCUGGAUGGGUCUUUUGAAAGGUUUCAGAAUAAAGUUCAGUCUCAAACCAA